AUACUAUAUAAGAAUGUUGUCCAAUACAAAAACAAAAAUAACAGUAGGAUUAAAUGUUUAUGUAAGAUUUCUGAAAUGACAUCAAUUUACAAACAAAUUGCAAGUGUGAUGGCUAUUCAACGGCAAAGCUGAGUACAGAGUCCCUGGAUCUUAGACGUACUUGGAUUCGACAAUGGAUAGGUUCUCGUCUUGUUACUGUUGGAGCACGUCAAUGUGAGCUGGUUAAUCGUUUGCUCGGACAUACAGGAAACAGGCUCUGUGUUGCAGCUCCACCUUGAAGUGGGUAGACAACUCAUAUAAUGGCACCAGGAACAAUGAUCAUUUAAAUCUACUCCGCGGAAAAGCAUGACCAAGCCACUAGUGAACCCAAUUAUCAAAAGAAUAAGAGAAACAAACCAUAGAACCAUUUGAUACAUCUUGAAUUUUGGUUUAGCCGAUGCUGAAUAUGUUCUGGAUGCAUAUUUCUGGCUCACCCAGCCAAACUGGGGCCGGAUCAGAAAUACGAAACCAAGAAGAAAACCAGACACAAAUCCUCCAAUAUGAGCGAAGUUGUCAACGUGUGGGAGAAGUCCAACCGCCAGAUUUAUAAUAAUGAUAACCACAAGGGUCACUAAAACUGCAAUCUUAUUGGCAUAUAUGGUCCAAUUGAUUAUAAGCUCUGAAAGCAUGCUUCCCAGCAACCCAAAAAGUGCACCAGAAGCACCA
rnacentral:misc_RNA from 1 species